GACGAACGCUGGCGGCGUGCUUAACACAUGCAAGUCGAACGGAAAGGCCCUGCUUUUGUGGGGUGCUCGAGUGGCGAACGGGUGAGUAACACGUGAGUAACCUGCCCUUGACUUUGGGAUAACUUCAGGAAACUGGGGCUAAUACAGGAUAGGAGCUCCUGCUGCAUGGUGGGGGUUGGAAAGUUUCGGCGGUUGGGGAUGGACUCGCGGCUUAUCAGCUUGUUGGUGGGGUAGUGGCUUACCAAGGCUUUGACGGGUAGCCGGCCUGAGAGGGUGACCGGCCACAUUGGGACUGAGAUACGGCCCAGACUCCUACGGGAGGCAGCAGUGGGGAAUAUUGCACAAUGGGCGGAAGCCUGAUGCAGCAACGCCGCGUGCGGGAUGACGGCCUUCGGGUUGUAAACCGCUUUCGCCUGUGACGAAGCGUGAGUGACGGUAAUGGGUAAAGAAGCACCGGCUAACUACGUGCCAGCAGCCGCGGUGAUACGUAGGGUGCGAGCGUUGUCCGGAUUUAUUGGGCGUAAAGGGCUCGUAGGUGGUUGAUCGCGUCGGAAGUGUAAUCUUGGGGCUUAACCCUGAGCGUGCUUUCGAUACGGGUUGACUUGAGGAAGGUAGGGGAGAAUGGAAUUCCUGGUGGAGCGGUGGAAUGCGCAGAUAUCAGGAGGAACACCAGUGGCGAAGGCGGUUCUCUGGGCCUUUCCUGACGCUGAGGAGCGAAAGCGUGGGGAGCGAACAGGCUUAGAUACCCUGGUAGUCCACGCUGUAAACGGUGGGUACUAGGUGUGGGGUCCAUUCCACGGGUUCCGUGCCGUAGCUAACGCUUUAAGUACCCCGCCUGGGGAGUACGGCCGCAAGGCUAAAACUCAAAGGAAUUGACGGGGCCCCGCACAAGCGGCGGAGCAUGCGGAUUAAUUCGAUGCAACGCGUAGAACCUUACCUGGGUUUGACAUGGAUCGGAAGUGCUCAGAGAUGGGUGUGCCUCUUUUGGGGUCGGUUCACAGGUGGUGCAUGGCUGUCGUCAGCUCGUGUCGUGAGAUGUUGGGUUAAGUCCCGCAACGAGCGCAACCCUUGUUCACUGUUGCCAGCACGUUAUGGUGGGGACUCAGUGGAGACCGCCGGGGUCAACUCGGAGGAAGGUGGGGAUGACGUCAAGUCAUCAUGCCCCUUAUGUCCAGGGCUUCACGCAUGCUACAAUGGCUGGUACAGAGAGUGGCGAGCCUGUGAGGGUGAGCGAAUCUCGGAAAGCCGGUCUCAGUUCGGAUUGGGGUCUGCAACUCGACCUCAUGAAGUCGGAGUCGCUAGUAAUCGCAGAUCAGCAACGCUGCGGUGAAUACGUUCCCGGG
rnacentral:rRNA from 1 species